rnacentral:misc_RNA from 1 species
GUCAGUCAGUUAGUAGGUUAGUAGUAGCAGUUAUUUUAUUGAGGGUAGCAAAGGUAGCGGCGCAGCAGCGGCAGUAAAGUGGCAACAGCAUUGAUAUUCCAAAUUGACGAAUUGCAAUAGCCAACUCGUAGUAUCACAGUGAAAAAUAAUAUUUAGAAAAUAUUCUAAGACGAACAUACCAGUGAAAAUAACCUAAUAAAAAACAAUAAAAAUGUUUCGACCCAGUUGAUUAAGAGAUAAAAGAAAAUUUCAUAAAAAAAAUUUAAGAUAAAUUAAAAUAUUUCCGUAAAAUAAGAAAAGUUAAAGCUGAAACCAAUAAAAACAGGAAAACUGUAAAACUGCUUGUUGUUAUACGAAAAAACAAAAUUACUAAGCAAAAAGUUAAAUAUUAAAUAAUCCUAUAAAGAAUUAUUUCAAUGACAUAGCUAAUAAACUUUAAAUAUUACCAACAAAAAUAGGCGACACAAAGAACUAAAAAUAAAAUAAAAGUAAAAUUAAAAACAUUUGCAUACCACAAAAAUAAGUGUAUAAAGUUAAAAAAACAAAAACAAGAAACCCUCUCAACUGCUACACGAGUUCAGUCAUCGAAUCGACAAGUCAGUUACAAUACAAUAAAAACAACAAAAGUCGAGCAACUACAGCAGUAACAGUUAAGAAACGCCGUAGCAGCAGCCGCAGAAAAAGCAGUAGAAAAUCAACCAAAAGCAGCAACUUCACUAAGAGCGCAGCCUAAAGGAAAAAAGCACAAGACAGCAAAAAUGGCCGACAAGAAGAUAGCAGAACAAUACUAUUCGCCACCGCCAAAGAUGGGCAAAUGGGAGGGUUUCAAAAAAUUCAUAUGGAACAGUGAAACUAGCCAAUGCCUUGGACGAACAGGAGGCAGUUGGGCAAAAAUUUUAUU